rnacentral:rRNA from 1 species
UACGUAGGGUCCAAGCGUUAAUCGGAAUUACUGGGCGUAAAGCGUGCGCAGGCGGUUCGCCAAGACAGGUGUGAAAGCCCGGGGCUUAACCCCGGGAGGCGGGUGGAUACUGCUGGGCUCGAGUCCGGAAGAGGCGAGUGGAAUUCCCGGUGUAGCGGUGAAAUGCGCAGAUAUCGGGAGGAACACCAAUGGCGAAGGCAGCUCGCUGGGACGUGACUGACGCUGAGACGCGAAAGCGUGGGGAGCAAACAGG